rnacentral:rRNA from 1 species
ACGGCGAGUGAGCGGCNCAGCUCAAAUUUGAAAUCUGGCUCUUUAGGGCCCGAGUUGUAAUUUGUAGAGGAUGCUUUUGGCGCGGUGCCUUCCGAGUUCCCUGGAACGGGACGCCUUAGAGGGUGANAGCCCCGUACGGUUGCACACCAAGNCUCUGGAAGCUCCUUCGACNAGUCGAUUCCCUUGGGAAUGCUGCUCUAGAUGUUANGCCAUUUUCUUCUAAAGCUUAUUAUUGUUCAAACACCCAUCUUGCGCACUUUCAGUGACCGAAAGAUGAAAAGCACUUUGAANNGAGGGUUAAAUAGCACGUGAAAUUGUUGAANGGGAAGNGUUUGCGACCAAACCUUUUCCUAGAGGAUCGUCGGGCGUUCUUCCCCGGUGCUCUUCCUUAGGUCGAGCCCGGNCCCGGUUUCUGCAGGGGGAUAAAAGCCCAAGGAAC